rnacentral:lncRNA from 1 species
AAUUUCAUUUAAAAGAAUCUUUUGGCAUGUGCUGUCCCUUUUUUUUGUCCCUCCCUGCAGAUGAAUGCCCUGCUUUCAUGUUUCAUUUUUAAUGUUUUGCUGAGGAGCAAAAAGGGAAUAGAUACACCAAUAAUGAGGUGGGAUGCGACUCGACCAAGAUUAUGAAGCACCAGGUGUUCUCCUAUCAGUCCAUAUCUAGAAUGAAUAUACUGGGACGCAACACCUUUAAGCGCCUUUGAUGGAUAGCUCCUCAAUGCUGUGCUGCCUGGCUGACCUCCAACAAGGUUCUGCUCCACUCAUCAGAAGUCGUGAUGAAACUUGGUCAUUUUAACCGCUGCUGUCCUACAUCACCUCUGUCUUGUGUAUGCUUAAACGUAGAAAAGUCCUAAAGCAUUGGACCCAGCAGUGUUGGGAUUCUGUAUCCACCAUUGUCUCUGAAAUGCAGUGUGCAAACCAUUUUGUGGCAUCAAGAGUGUGUGGGCAAGAAAGCAGAGACUUAGCUUCUCCAGUUGAAACUCAAGGCAGGAUUUAUGCUUUCAUCCAGGAACCUAAAAACAGUCCUAUUCAUGUAUUCAGUGUUUGCACAGAGCACGGCUUUGACACGAAGACUGAGAUGCUGCUUCUCUCUGUGAAGACCGUGUCAGCUGCGUGAGCUCCAACCAUUGUCUUAGCCUCCACCAGCACUGCCUUAACAGGUUUUCAGGAUUGCCCUUGAAGCACCUUUAGAGAUUGAUGUCACAUUUGUCACUUUCCGUUCCUCUAAAAGGAAAUCGACACGUCUGCUGAAAAAUGCUGAACCACAUUCACAUACAGAGGAAACAAGUAUUAAAGGUAGGCUAAAAGCAAUCAGUGCCAUUCAGAGAUAAGUGCAUAGUAUUAAUUUUAGCUUUUGAAUUAUCUUCAUCCAGAAGA